UCGGCACUUAAAGUUAACCAGCGAGAGACGUUAACCACCGAGGGUCGGUUUUUAGACACGCCCAGUGCAACUAUGCACGCCUACUUUUGGAGCUCUUUAGUAUGAAGAUAAGAAAAGUAUACGGAAUUGAGGGACUGUCGACAAUGUUUUAUCAUUGUUCUUGGUUUACAGACGUUACCCGUAAAUAAACUGGACCCCUGUUGUGUUUAUUUAUCGCUGCACUACGAUGGAAUGGCGGACCAGUUUAAACAUGGUAAACAGAUAAACAGCUGAUUAAAGUAACCUGUAAGAAGAGACCCCAGAAUGGGCAGAACAGUGGCAAAAGACUAAUCCAGAUUACCAAAAAAUAGAAAUUGUUCAGCUACCAGUCAUGACAUAACUGCAUAAGCAUGAUAAGAAAAAUGUUGCAGUUUCCAGAAUUUGAGGUAAUCAGGAUUUAGUGUUUCCAUACAAGUGUCAAAGAUUGAACGACAAAAACAUCUAAAACUUUACAGGACAGAGUAGACUUUUUUCACUGUGCUUAGUUUUGUCUUUAUGUCUAAAUAAUGAUACCUUUUAAAAAAACCAAUAAAAUAUGGAAUA